rnacentral:rRNA from 1 species
AAUAGCGGAGGAAAAGAAACCAACAGGGAUUGCCUCAGUAACGGCGAGUGAAGCGGCAAAAGCUCAAAUUUUAAAGCUGGCAUCUUCGGUGUCCGCGUUGUAAUUUUGUGAGGCAUCUCCGGGUAGGGCGCCAGCCUAAGUUCCUUGGAACAGGACGUCACAGAGGGUGAGAAUCCCGUGCUUGGCUGGCUGUCCCCGCCCACGUGAGGCGUCUUCGACGAGUCGAGUUGUUUGGGAAUGCAGCUCAAAAUGGGUGGUAAAUUUCAUCUAAAGCUAAAUAUUGGUGGGAGACCGAUAGCGCACAAGUAGAGUGAUCGAAAGAUGAAAAGCACUUUGAAAAUAGAGUUAAAAAGUACGUGAAAUUGUUGAAAGGGAAGCGCUUGAGACCAGACUUCGGUAGGGGGUGAUCAGCCGUCCUUCUGGGCGGUGCACUUGCCCCCCUCCGGGCCAGCAUCGGUUGAGGCGGCGGGAUAAAGGUCCCGGGAACGUGGCUCCUUCACGGGAGUGUUAUAGCCCGGGUGAAUGCCGCCAGCCUCGACCGAGGACCGCGCCCGCAAGGGUUAGGAUGCUUGGCAUAAUGGUCUUCAGCGACCCG